rnacentral:rRNA from 1 species
GACGAACGCUGGCGGCGUGCCUAAUACAUGCAAGUCGAACGCAGUGGGGACGGGUGAGUAACACGUGGGUAACCUCCCAUCAGAGGGGAUAACACUUGGAAACUGGUGCUAAACCGCAACUGGUUGAUAGACUCGGGGUGCAUUAGCUAGUUGGUGGGGUACCGGCUCACAAGGGCCACGAUGCAUAGCCGACCUGAGGGGGUGAUCGCCCACACUGGGACUGAGACACGGACCAGACUCCUACGGGAGGCAGAAGUAGGAAAUCGUCGGCAAUGGACGAAAUUCUGACCGAGCAACGCCGCGUGAGUGAAGAAGGUGUUCGGUUCGUAAAACUCGUUUGUUAGAGAAGCGGUAUCGAACCAGAAAGCCACGGCUAACUACGUGCCAGCCGCCGCGGUAAUAC